rnacentral:rRNA from 1 species
GACGAACGCUGGCGGCGUGCUUAACACAUGCAAGUCGAGCGGAAAGGCCCUUCGGGGUACUCGAGCGGCGAACGGGUGAGUAACACGUGAGUAACCUGCCCCAGACUUUGGGAUAACCCUCGGAAACGGGGGCUAAUACCGGAUACGACACAGCUUCGCAUGGGGUCUGUGUGGAAAGUUUUUCGGUUUGGGAUGGGCUCGCGGCCUAUCAGCUUGUUGGUGAGGUGAUGGCCUACCAAGGCGACGACGGGUAGCCGGCCUGAGAGGGCGACCGGCCACACUGGGACUGAGACACGGCCCAGACUCCUACGGGAGGCAGCAGUGGGGAAUAUUGCACAAUGGGCGGAAGCCUGAUGCAGCGACGCCGCGUGAGGGAUGACGGCCUUCGGGUUGUAAACCUCUUUCAGCAGGGACGAAGCGUAAGUGACGGUACCUGCAGAAGAAGCGCCGGCCAACUACGUG